GACGAACGCUGGCGGCGUGCCUAAUACAUGCAAGUAGAACGCAGUUGCGAACGGGUGAGUAACGCGUAGGUAACUGCCGGGUAUCGGGGGAUAACAAUUGGUAGAAAUAGCGAAUACCGCAUACUACCAGAUGGGCCUGCGUUGUAUUAGGUAGUUGGUGGGGUGACGGCUCACCAAGGCAACGAUACAUAGCCGGCCUGAGAGGGUGAACGGCCAAACCGGGCCGGAGACACGGCCCCGACUCCUUCGGGAGGCAACAGUAGGGGAUCGUCGGCAAUUGACGGAAGUCUUGACGAGCAACGCCGGGUGAGUGAAGAAGGUUUUUGGAUCGUAAAGCUCUGUUGUACGAGAAGCGUUAUCUUACCAGAAAGGGACGGCUAACUACGUGCCAGCAGCCGCGGUAAUAC
rnacentral:rRNA from 1 species